rnacentral:rRNA from 1 species
AGUCGAGCGGUAGCACAGAGAGCUUGCUCUCGGGUGACGAGCGGCGGACGGGUGAGUAAUGUCUGGGAAACUGCCUGAUGGAGGGGGAUAACUACUGGAAACGGUAGCUAAUACCGCAUAACGUCGCAAGACCAAAGUGGGGGACCUUCGGGCCUCAUGCCAUCAGAUGUGCCCAGAUGGGAUUAGCUAGUAGGUGGGGUAACGGCUCACCUAGGCGACGAUCCCUAGCUGGUCUGAGAGGAUGACCAGCCACACUGGAACUGAGACACGGUCCAGACUCCUACGGGAGGCAGCAGUGGGGAAUAUUGCACAAUGGGCGCAAGCCUGAUGCAGCCAUGCCGCGUGUGUGAAGAAGGCCUUCGGGUUGUAAAGCACUUUCAGCGGGGAGGAAGGCGUUAAGGUUAAUAACCUUGGCGAUUGACGUUACCCGCAGAAGAAGCACCGGCUAACUCCGUGCCAGCAGCCGCGGUAAUACGGAGGGUGCAAGCGUUAAUCGGAAUUACUGGGCGUAAAGCGCACGCAGGCGGUCUGUCAAGUCGGAUGUGAAAUCCCCGGGCUCAACCUGGGAACUGCAUU